rnacentral:tRNA from 1 species
GCCGGGGUCGCUCAGCCGGUAGAGCUCCCGCCUUGUAAGCGGAAGGUCGCGGGUUCGAUACCCGCCCUCGGCCCCA